GACGAACGCUGGCGGCGUGCUUAACACAUGCAAGUCGAACGGAAAGGCCCUGCUUUUGUGGGGUGCUCGAGUGGCGAACGGGUGAGUAACACGUGAGUAACCUGCCCUUGACUUUGGGAUAACUUCAGGAAACUGGGGCUAAUACCGGAUAGGAGCUCCUGCUGCAUGGUGGGGGUUGGAAAGUUUCGGCGGUUGGGGAUGGACUCGCGGCUUAUCAGCUUGUUGGUGGGGUAGUGGCUUACCAAGGCUUUGACGGGUAGCCGGCCUGAGGGGGUGACCGGCCACAUUGGGACUGAGAUACGGCCGAGACUCCUACGGGAGGCAGCAGUGGGGAAUAUUGCACAAUGGGCGGAAGCCUGAUGCAGCAACGCCGCGUGCGGGAUGACGGCCUUCGGGUUGUAAACCGCUUUCGCCUGUGACGAAGCGUGAGUGACGGUAAUGGGUAAAGAAGCACCGGCUAACUACGUG
rnacentral:rRNA from 1 species